UUACUUGGGCAAUACAUAUUCUAUAAUUGAAUGAUACAGAGAUUAGCAUGGCUCCUGUGCAAGAAUGACACACAAAUUGAAUUGUUUAAAAAAGUA
rnacentral:snRNA from 10 species